rnacentral:sRNA from 1 species
UCAUGAACAACGCAAAACUCACAUUCUACUCAAAAAGCGUUCCUACGAAGACUUGUCUGAUGAAGUACGGAAAUCGUAUAGAGAAUGGAGACCAAGUGCCAACUGGCAAAGGUGUCGAUCUUGGGUGCAGUGCCUGCUGACCUCUUGUGUCAUGUAGUAGGGAUUGCAAUGAUUGAUUCUACAU